rnacentral:misc_RNA from 1 species
GAUGAAGAACGUAGCGAAAUGCGAUAAGUAAUGUGAAUUGCAGAAUUCAGUGAAUCAUCGAAUCUUUGAACGCACAUUGCGCCCCCUGGCAUUCCGGGGGGCAUGCCUGUUCGAGCGUCAUUACAACCCCUCAAGCCCAGCUUGGUAAUGGGCCGUCGCCUCCGGUCUACCGGAGGCGUGCCCCAAAACAGUCGGCAGGACCACGCGGACCGCCGGGCGUAGCAGAUUGUAACGUCCGUGGCGACCGCGCUCCCAGCCGUAAAGCCCUGAGGUCCUAGCGACCUCAACUUCUAAGGUUGACCUCGGAUCAGGUAGGGAUACCCGCUGAACUUAAGCAUAUCAAUAAGCGGAGGA